GAAAGAUUUCAUCGGUUUCUUGUCUGCAUCUUUCUUUCGAUCAUCAUAAUUGUCCACCCAAUCCUCCUCCUCCAUUAUUGUAGGUAACGAAGGCUUCCAAUUGGAUUUGCGGUGGAUUUGAGGCUUUGAUUCAACUUUGAAACGAAGUUGAGCGGAAGAAGAAAUGUUAUUAGUUGUUGUUGUUGUCACUUUACGAGAACGACGGCGGGAGAAGCACUUCAUACUGUAGGGAGUGAUUCUCUUCAAGAGAUUUUUUGUUGUUGCGAGGAUUGUG
rnacentral:lncRNA from 1 species